rnacentral:misc_RNA from 1 species
AACGGUCUAUACCUGCGGUACCUGCGGAGGGAUCAUUACCGAGUUUACAACUCCCAAACCCCUGUGAACAUACCACUCGUUGCCUCGGCGGAUCACCGCGCCCCGUGAAACGGGCCGGCCCGCCAGAGGACCUAAACUCAAAUGUUUUAUUGUAUCUUCUGAGUAAAAACACAAAUAAAUCAAAACUUUCAGCAACGGAUCUCU